rnacentral:rRNA from 1 species
CCUACGGGAGGCAGCAGUGGGGAAUAUUGGGCAAUGGGCGCAAGCCUGACCCAGCAACGCCGCGUGAAGGAAGAAGGCUUUCGGGUUGUAAACUUCUUUUCUCAGGGACGCAGAAAGUGACGGUACCCGAGGAAUAAGCCACGGCUAACUACGUGCCAGCAGCCGCGGUAAUACGGAGGUGGCAAGCGUUAUCCGGAUUUAUUGGGUGUAAAGGGCGUGUAGGCGGGAGCGCAAGUCAGAUGUGAAAACUCAGGGCUCAACCCUGAGCCUGCAUUUGAAACUGGGCUUCUUGAGUGCUGGAGAGGCAAGCGGAAUUCCGGGUGUAGCGGUGAAAUGCGUAGAUAUACGGAAGAACACCAGUGGCGAAGGCGGAUUGCUGGACAGUAACUGACGCUGAGGCGCGAAAGCGUGGGGAGCAAACAGGAUUAGAUACCCGUGUAGUC